GAUGAACGCUGGCGGCGUGCCUAAUACAUGCAAGUCGAGCGAAUGGAUUAAGAGCUUGCUCUUAUGAAGUUAGCGGCGGACGGGUGAGUAACACGUGGGUAACCUGCCCAUAAGACUGGGAUAACUCCGGGAAACCGGGGCUAAUACCGGAUAACAUUUUGAACCGCAUGGUUCGAAAUUGAAAGGCGGCUUCGGCUGUCACUUAUGGAUGGACCCGCGUCGCAUUAGCUAGUUGGUGAGGUAACGGCUCACCAAGGCAACGAUGCGUAGCCGACCUGAGAGGGUGAUCGGCCACACUGGGACUGAGACACGGCCCAGACUCCUACGGGAGGUAGCAGUAGGGAAUCUUCCGCAAUGGACGAAAGUCUGACGGAGCAACGCCGCGUGAGUGAUGAAGGCUUUCGGGUCGUAAAACUCUGUUGCUAGGGAAGAACAAGUGCUAGUUGAAUAAGCUGACACCUUGACGGUACCUAACCAGAAAGCCACGGCUAACUACGUGCCAGCAGCCGCAGUAA
rnacentral:rRNA from 1 species